GAUGAACGCUGGCUACAGGCUUAACACAUGCAAGUCGAGGGGAAACGACGGGGAAGCUUGCUUCCCCGGGCGUCGACCGGCGCACGGGUGAGUAACGCGUAUCCAACCUGCCUCUGACUGAGGGAUAACCCGUCGAAAGUCGGCCUAAUACCUCAUGGCAUCGUCUGCGGGCAUCCAACGACGAUUAAAGAUUUCAUCGGUCAGGGAUGGGGAUGCGUCUGAUUAGCUUGUUGGCGGGGUAACGGCCCACCAAGGCUACGAUCAGUAGGGGUUCUGAGAGGAAGGUCCCCCACAUUGGAACUGAGACACGGUCCAAACUCCUACGGGAGGCAGCAGUGAGGAAUAUUGGUCAAUGGGCGGGAGCCUGAACCAGCCAAGUAGCGUGAAGGAUGACGGCCCUAUGGGUUGUAAACUGCUUUUAUGCGGGGAUAAAGUGAGGGACGUGUCCUUCAUUGCAGGUACCGCAUGAAUAAGGACCGGCUAAUUCCGUG
rnacentral:rRNA from 1 species